UAUGUGAAUAUAUAUAUAACUGUAGAACAAAAAUGUGCAUUCUACAAAUGGGAAUAUAGAAUAAAAUUUGUAGAAAAAAUAACUAAUAGGAAGAAAGAGGAGCUACAAUGACAUAUAAUGUAUAGGGAAGAAGAAAACAAUAAGUAUAAAUCACAAAGAAUAAAAUAAAAUGGCAAAAUAAGACUAUACCUGACUUGGCAUAGUGAAUAUAAAUGGCUUAAAAGAUAACAAUAAAAGGCAAAUAAAAUCAGAUUAUAUCAAAAGGUAAAAAUCUAAAUUUACUAAUUAUAAGAAGCACAUGUAUAAACAAAUUGACAAAGAAAUGUUGAAAAUAAAGGGAUUCAAAAGUUUCCCUGGUCAAAAGGAACAUAGAAAAGUUAGAGGAAUAGACAGGUAGAAAUAUUAGAAUCAGACACAGCAUCAUGUAUCAUGGCAAAAAAUAUGAAAUGGAUAAAAUGAUUAUUAUACACCUGUAAAAGUUACAAUGCACAGUGCAAACAUAAGCAUCACAAACAAUCCAUACACUGAGGAAAUACAUAAAAUAAAAACUGUUAGGAAGGAAAGGAAACUUUACAUAAAACUUUAACAUAACUGUAACAUACAUCUAGGAGAUAAAACAGAAUUUCCGGAAUGACAAAAUAUCUUUAAUAGGCAUGACUAAGCUUUACACUAUACAGAGAAUAUGCCUUUUUCUGUAACAUCCACAGAACAAACAGUAAAAUUCACUAAAAUGGUUUUAAUAAAGUGUGAGUAUUUUGACUCAUCCACCCCAAAAGGGCGUAUUCUUUCUACACUAAUUGUAUAGCCCAGGAUGUUAGGAAUUAACCAAUAUUCUUUAGUCCUUGAAAGAUCUUAACCUUGAAAACACUCAGAGACAACAUACAAAUAAAACCCACACCAGCUUUUCUGUGUGCUUUAUCUGACUGUAGUAGGCUGAAUAAAGGCCUCCAAAGAUGUCCCCAUUCUAAGCCCUGGAACCUGUGAAUGUUACUUUACAUAGCAAAAGGGACUAUGCAGAUGUGACUAAGAAUCUUGAGACAGGGAGAUUUUCCUGGGGAUUAUCCAGGUGGGCCCUAAAUGCAAUUUCAAGUCUCUUUAUAAGAGGGAUUGAGAAGGAAACUUCAUCAAAGAACAGGAAAAAAUCAGUGUGACCAUAGAAGCAGAGAUUGAAGCGAUGUGGUCACAAGGCAAGGAAUGCUGGCAGCCACCAGACACCGGAAGUCAGGAACAGAUUCUCCCCCGGAACCUCCAGAGGGGAGACAGCCCUGCUGUCACCUUGAUUUUAAGCCAGUGAUGUUGAUUUCAGACUCUGGCCUCUGGAACUUCCUUUCAGAAAUUCUCUAGAGCCUGAAAAAGUCACCCUGCCGAGGAUCAACUUCUUCACCCCAGAACAAGGCAGAGCAGAAGGAUGGAUCUGAGUGCAAACAGGUCCAGGACCAGCACACCAUAUGCCGACCUUGAGAAGGAAAUUCACUGAGCCAUUCCUUACGAGUGUUCCCAGGAGAAACAGGAAAGUGAGAAGUCAAGUCGGUCCAAGAAGAAUAAAGAGGCCAAGCCCAGUUGCAUAUCAGCAAUCUCACAGAGAGAGCUGCCUCAGUCCCUCGAGGCACAGUGACCCAUGAUAUUCAAGGUGGUGGCUCCUUUGUCAGAUGAAUUCCUGAGUGACCAUAAGCAGAGAUCUCCUAACGACCCAUGAUGGGUAGUGUGAGCAAGUAUGAACCAUCUAGUGGAGCAAGAAAUAGUGCCUAUAUAAGCACUGAGAUUUGAGGAUGGUUUGUUACCAGAGAAUUGCCUACCUUAUCCUGACUGAUAAUCAGAUGUAAUAAUAUACCUCUGACUGGUGUUGGCUCCAUCAUACACCAGGGAAACAGCUGUUGUCUAGUACUUAUAACAUGUAACUCAAAACCCCUGGUUUAAAUGAAUUCCUGAGUGCAUUAUGCAUAACAUUUGUAUAAUUGGCUUUUGUAAACAAGACAUUGCUAUAGUUCUUCACAGAAUUAUGCUAAUAUCGAUAGAUUAUUCUUCAUUUAUCUUUAUCUGUUCUGAGCGACUGAAAGAGGAAAGAUUUGUUAUGAGAACACAUAAAUACAGUAUCAUGAAAGGGAAAGAAAAAGUUCUGUUUUGCGGAAGGCAUUAGUCCCCUUUGUUAGUCAAAUGAAGAGAGACUAUUCAUUAUACUUUAAUCUUAAGGAAUCCAAGAUUGCUAAACUAAUGGAUGACAUGUGACUAAGGAAUGAAUUAGUUGAACUUUAUUCUAUGAGUUGCCACCAUGAACUGUGCAAUUAUAGCCAGGUCCUUUAAAUGCUUUGAAUGUUUUUCAUGUGCGGAUAAGAUUAUUUCAGACCUACCAGGCCUUGAAGAAGGAUCAAAGUCUUGUCAGAGCUUUUGCCUAAAAUUGAAAAUAUCAUGUUACUUGGACUAUUUAUUUAUCCCUGCACCUUGUUGCAAAAAGGAUUUUAAGUAGAUGGCAUAUUAUUAUUUUAUUAACACAUUAAAAAAAACCCAUAAGAGGAUUAUAGAGUUUUUCCCUAACCUACUUCUCAGAGUGUUUUAAGCACACUGUAGAAUUUAUUCACUCAUGAAUUUGAUACAAACUAAAGUGAAAAUCUCUUCUCUGGAACCUCAUAAUGCUUAGAAAGCAUAGUAACACGUUCGGAGAAAGAGGAAGAUCAAAUUUAGAGGAAGCUCUUGUUUGAGUUUCUGCCACAAUGAGUUUCCCAUUCUAGAUAUUAAAAUAAUAGUAUAUACCCCAAAUAAAAUACUCAAGUUUCUGUAAAUUAAGGAUUAUGACUUGAUUAUACAUAUUUUAGAUUUAGAGCAUGCAUAAAAAAAUAUCUUUUUCACCAACUAGUAGAAAAAAAUUCAAAAUAAUGUGAUGAUUUUAAUCUUCCAUGAUAUGUAAUCUAAAAUAUCAAAACAUCACUGACUUUGCAUUAUAAUUAAAUAUAAAAGGUGACUGACUUAAGCCAAAUUUAAAAAAAAAAAUUGAGACAAGGUCUGUGUCAUCAGAGGUGGUAAGCAGUAGUGCAAACACAGCUCACUGCAGCAUUGACCUCCUGGGCUCAAACUCUCCUCCCAUCUCAGCCUCCCAGGCAGCUGAGAUCACAGAUACACACCACCACACCCAGAUAAUUUUUUUUUUUAAGUAAGGACAAAAUCUCACUAUGUUGUCCAGGUUCCAAAUAAAUUUUAAGAGCCUAAUUUUAACUAUUCAAAAACUAAGCAAAUACCUGAAAAUUAUUUCUUCUGAAAAACACAUACUAAAUAAAAAUCUAUUAUACUUAUGGAUUUUCAGAGGUCUUCAUAAGUAUUAACUCAUAAAUUCUUGUGGCUUUCCCAAUUGUCACAUGUCUCCUUUCAUGAAAUAUUUUGUAAAUUUUUACUAUGGUAUUGGACAGAGCAUGAACCUCAGAAUUGCCCAAAUCUGAGUUCACCGACUUAAUCAAGCACAUAUUAAUAUAUAAUCUUGGAUAAUUUAUCAAUUUAAACUGAAGAGCUUUAUCUUCAACAUUUCUAAAUUAUGCGUGUUAUAAACAAUAAAUCAGGUUAUUCCAUUACAUUUAAUAACUAGCAACCCACACUGUGAUAAGUGUCAGUAAUGCAACAGCACGGUAAUAUAUAGGCAAAGCACCAACCAGAAAUUAAGUAUCUGUUGAAUUUCUCUCUACUCUCCUUUUCCCUCAACCAAUUCCUGAAUAAAUGUAGGGAGAAACAGGAAUGUUUUAAGAAAUCUUCUUCAACUAAUAUGAAAUAGGAUAUCUGAAGACUCAUCCUUCUGUCUUCCUAGUCUAUAGUUUGUUCCACAGCUAUUUUUGUGACUAAAGAUACUAAAAUUAGACAUUAUUUUUAUCUCUAAAUUUCAAGGCAGUUGUUAAGAACUAUGACUAAACUACCAAAAUAAAGAAACAUAGAGGAAUAAUGAACAUUGACUACAAACUAAACUGAUUGUCACAUAUUCUAUGUGGUGAUUUGAGAGACUGCUUCUCAUACACUGUAAUUCAAUGAAAAAAUAGCAUAUACAAAAUGAUUACUUAGUAAGAAAAAUUCAAACUUAAAACGAGUUGUCAAUGUGACAUGCCAUGUUAGAAAUGAAUAAUAAAAUGUGUGCCAAGGGCUAAGUAAGGCAUUUUUCCCUUUUUUUCUCUUUUAAAAAGGACUACAAAAGAGCAGUUUUUUUGGUUAAAAGAAUUAAUGAAAAUUGCUAAAUCAAUGACGCUUUCAGAAGUUCCCUGUUUUUGACAUCAGAGUCAUAUUAUAAUGCUCUAUUUCCUGUUUCCUCACCUAAACAGAAUUUUGCUUCAGGCAAUUUUUUAUCUCAACUUCUGUUUGUAGAAACCAGGGACAUUUAUUGAAUUGUUUCUGGCUGGCUAUUUGAUCGUAACAAAGCAUUUAAAUGAUACUGAUGCCCUGGCUUGAGCAACGGAGCAUCCCAGACUUUCAGUUAGUUGCACACAGCACACAUACAACUCAUUUGAGUUACAGCUAAAUGCAAUUACAGGCCUCAGAGCUAAUAUAUAGAUCACUUCUUAUUUAAGGCAAUUCACCUUUGAAUUGGUUAACCUUUAAUUGUUCAUAAAAUAAUAAGAUGGGAAACAAAGUUGCUACCCAAUAUGUUAGUUUCCCCAAAUAAACACUUAUUUAAAGGUUCAUUUGUUAAUCAAGUAUCUGGAAGUUGAAAUACAUUUUUAUGAAAGGAAAUAAAUUUUAGGUGAUGAUUAGGUUUUUAUCAAGAGCUGAAGUUUUUAAUAACGAACAGGGAGAGAUACUAUGGCAAAACAGUAAUUGAAUAAAACAUAAAUUCAAUAAAAUGAUAUGAAAAAUCAAUGUUUGACAUUUAUUGUGCAGUGCUGGCUGGGUGCAGUGGUAUGAGCCAUACCACUGUGUACAUCCUCAUCUGUCUACCAAAUAUGGCCCCCAGGCAGUUUGCUCAAGGUCACAUACUGGUGGAACAAUAAUUAGAAACAUUUUAUCAUCCUCAAUUUAAUUCUCUUUAUAUUUGACUCAGGAUAAAUGUCAAACAUUGAUUUUUCAUAUCAUUUUAUUGAAUUUAUGUUUUAUUCAAUUACUGUUUUGCCAUAGUAUCUCUCCCUGUUCAUUAUUGGUAUGAGCCAUAUCACUGCACCCAGCCAGCACUGCACAUUUUAAGUGUAUGUUCUAUGAGUUUUGAGAAAGGUAUACAUGCAUGUAACCACCUUGCUAAUCAGGAUAUAGACUAUUUCCAUCACCCUCAAGGAGUUCCCUUUUGCAUUUUGCAGUCCAUCAAUCUUCCUCUACCCCUUAGCUCAGACAACCAUGAAUCUACUUUUUGCCAUUAUAGAUUAGAUUUUCCUGUUAUAAAUUUUUAUGCAAAUAAAAUAAUAUACAAAAUA